AUACUCUGGUUUCUCUUCAGAUCGUAUAAAUCUUUCGCCUUUUACUAAAGAUUUCCGUGGAGAGGAACAUUUAUGAGUUUCAAUUAAUUUUUUGCCAAUAACUUCUGAGGAGAUUA